rnacentral:rRNA from 1 species
ACAGCCAUAUCACCCUGCAGCCCAAGACUGGUUGCCCACUAAAGCUAAGCAGGGUUGAGCCUGGUCAGUACCUGGAUGGGAGACCUCCUGAGAAAACUAGGUUGCUGUUAGAA